UCGCGAGUAAGCUAGUACUUCAUAACUUCUUGUUUCUAUUGAAAUCAGAGAUGAUGUCUAUUUGAAUCCGAAAAUUGCUAUCAAUCAUCUUUUCAUUCAUGUGAAUGUGUUCAAAUGAGCAAGUGGCAUUUCAAAUGCAAGCUCGCAUCUAUGAAGUUGCUCAUGCCUGUGUCAUCCUUGAUAUGUUUGGGAAACUGACGGUCCUUGCGAGUUUCAGUGAAGCUGCAUGUGUUGUUUGUGUUGCUGUCUGUGUACUUGCGUUGCCAGGAUCCAUCUAGUUAUUAGGAGCAUAUUAAAUUUCGCGAGUAAGCUAGUACUUCAU
rnacentral:lncRNA from 1 species